UUCUUUUUACUUAAACUCUUUUAAGAGUGGUUUCAGACAGAUAUGCUUAUGAAUUGUACUCUGUACAUAUUGCAUGUAUUCAUCAGGUAUGAAAGGCUGAUCACCUUCAUUACCAGUCAGUUCAGAUAUAAUUGUUAUGUUCAUUUUCAAUGUUCAUUCAGCUUUGAAAUUUUGUUCAUGCUAAUUCACAACUACAUUGUGAAGGAUAGCCAGCUUAUUAUUCAAACUCUUUCAAUCAUGAUAUAUCUUUACCUUGUUUUUUUUUAAACUUGUUGGGCAAAUUUCAUGCUCACCCUUGCUAUAUCAUGAUAAAACAUUGCAGAUAAGACGAAUACGGCCAGAUACAGGAAAAAGGAUAAUGCCAAGUUCAGCUUGGGAUAAAAUGUGAAGUUAAGUUGUAAAGUAUGUUGAAGAAUAGUAUUGUCAUGUGUUAGACAGUUCACGAUUGUGUAUUAGUUAUGGUUACUCAAUUUUGGGAAUAGUGUGUAAAGUUUAAUGUAUAAACAAUUUAUGUUUAUAUCUUCCG
rnacentral:lncRNA from 1 species